rnacentral:ncRNA from 1 species
CUAUGAUAAAGGCAAAACAGCCGAAAGGCUGUGACGCAAAGCUUAAGGGCCUACGUCCAGCAGGAUAUGGCAGCCAGUUACCGGA